rnacentral:misc_RNA from 1 species
AAGAGAUUGUAAAUGGGAUAAGGACUAUGAAAAGUACGAGUACCUUUACAAAGAGCAAUGAGGAGAUUAGUUGUUUCUCCUAGAGGCAUGACUAGCAUAAGUGAUGAUGUUGAUAUAAGAAAUAAGUCACCUAGAGCAUUUUAUGGACUUAUAUCAUCAAGAAAAACAUCAUUUGUGUUAGUCCGAGGAUUUGGAUGAGGUAGUUGUA